CUAGCAGUAUCCCCGCUCCGUGACCCCCGCCCACCCCGGCUCGCUCGCUCCCCCCCUCCCGGCGGCCUCGACUCCCUCCACCCUCCGCAGCAGCUUGUUGCAAUUGCUGUACAAAGGGCUGGGGGCGGGCGAGGGGAGUUCGACCCGAACUGGCUGCCGCUGCGGGGCCGCAGCCAAUCCGGAGCGCGCGCGCCCGCCCGCCCGGGCGGGAGGGCCCUGGGCCGCCGCGGGCGACCGGGCGGAGCCGCGGGCAUAGCGCGGAGCUCGGCGUGGGGACAGCCCGGCCGCCCGCCUGCCCUCUGCCCGCUGGGGGCUCUUCGGCCCCGCCAUGCCGCCGUGGGGGGCCGCUCUCACUCUGCUCCUGGCGGCGCUCGCCCUGCUCUUCCUGCUCGCCCCGCGGCUCAGGCGCCCCCGGAGCCGCGCCGUCGGGACGGAGACCCUGCCCCAAGCCCCGGCCCCCGAUCCCCAGGAGGAGGUAGACGGCCGAGGCCUGGCGGAUCCGUUCAGCGCCGGGCAGGAGCCGCUGCCCGGAGGGUGCAGCCUCCUCUGUAAGCCGUCGGCGCUGGCGCAGUGUCUGCUGCGCGCCCUGCGGCGCUCGGCGGCGCUGGAGCCCGGCCCGCGCUCCUGGUUCUCCGGUCCCCACCUGCAGACCCUCUGCCACUUCGUCCUGCCCGUCGGCGGGGCCGGGCCGGAGUUGGCCCGGGAGUACCUGCAAUUGGCGGACGAUGGGCUGGUAGCCCUGGACUGGGUCGUGGGACCCUGCACCCGUGGCCGCCGGGUCACCAACGCCGGGGGGCUUCCGGCCGUGCUGCUGGUGAUCCCCAGCGCGUGGGGGCGCCUCACCCGCAACGUGCUGGGCCUCUGCCUGCUCGCCCUGGAGCGCGGCUACUACCCGGUCAUCUUCCACCGCCGCGGCCACCACGGCUGCCCGCUCGUCAGCCCCAGGCUGCAGGCUUUUGGGGACCCGUCCGACCUCAAGGAAGCCGUCACUUACAUCCGCUUCCGACACCCUGCCGCCCCGCUGUUCGCGGUGAGCGAGGGCUCGGGCUCCGCACUGCUGCUGUCCUACCUGGGCGAGUGCGGCUCCUCCAGCUACGUGACCGGAGCUGCCUGCAUCUCGCCGGUGCUGCGCUGCCGGGAGUGGUUCGAGGCCGGCCUGCCCUGGGCCUAUGAGCGCGGCUUCCUGCUGCACCAGAAAAUCGCCCUCAGCAGAUAUGCCACAGCCCUAGAGAACACAGUGGACACCAGCAAGCUGUUUAUGAGCCGCUCUCUUCGUGAGUUUGAGGAGACCCUCUUCUGCCACACCAAGACUCUCCCCAUCAGCUGGGAUACCUAUUGGGAUCAAAAUGACCCCCUCCGGGAUGUGGAUGAGGCAGCUGUUCCUGUUCUGUGCAUCUGCAGCACUGAUGACCCCAUAUGUGGGCCCCCUGACCGCGCACUGCCUGCUGAACUCUUCCAAAGCAACCCUUAUUUCUUCCUGCUCCUCAGUCACCAGGGAGGCCAUUGUGGCUUCUUGCGCCAGGAGCCCUUGCCAGCUUGGAGCCACGAGGUCAUCUUGGAAUCCUUUCGGGCCUUGACUGAUUUCUUCCGAACGGAAGAGAGGUUGAAAGGACUGAGCAGGCGUCGAACUUCAUUCCUAGGAAGCCGGCGUCGCUGGGGAACCCUGCAGAAGCGAGAAGUCUCUCCCUCUUCCAAUCUAGAGGUCUUUAGCUGGAAGCGAUCAUACACAAGGUGAAGGUUGCUUGAAGAAGGUCACACUCGGGCAAGGAAGGAGAGCUGGGUACAGCGGAAUCAAAAAGAUGGUGAGGACUUGAGGCUGAAGGUGUGCCUCAAGUGGUAGAGGGGCUGCCUAGCAAGUACAAGAUCUCAAAUCCCAUUACAAAAAACACCAAAGAAAAAUAAACAGGUACAUUAAAAAAAAAAAAAAAAAGAACAACAAGGACAUGGGGAGGGGUCAGGGGAAGCUCAAGCUUUUUAUUUCUGAAGCUAUCAUUUCUCUUUUAAACUGGUCUAUAGAAGGAGAUGCAACGUUUAUUCACUACCUAGAGCAGAAAUACUGUCCGGGCUCUGUGAAACACAUUCCCACUCAUCCUGGUCAGCCCCUGUCACCAUCUCUUUUUUUUUUGCCAGUUGUAGGGCUUGAACUUAAGGGCCUGGGAACUGUCCCUGAGCUUCUUUUGGUCAAGGCCGGUGCUCUACCACUUGAGCCACAGCGCCACUUCUGGCUUUUUCUGUUUAUGUGGUACUUAGGAAUCAAACCCAGGGCUUCAUGCAUGCUAGGUAAGCACUCUACCACUAAGCCACAUUCCCACCCCCUGUCACAAUCUUCUUAAACCAAGGGAUAGCAACUUUUAAGUUCAUGAACUUGAGAGAAAAAGCUUCUCUUCCAGUUGUGACUAUGGGGACAAUGAAUUUGUGAGUGCCAUUGAGUGGCCCUGUUACACAUAAAUAAUCAGCUUGGUGACUCUGAGUCUCGAGCUGGAGCCACUUGAUGUAGAAAGGACAGGAUGUUUGUGUCUCAGUCCCACUUCCCUCAUUUGCUCUGUGGUUGUGGCUCUGCUCUGACUUAGUGCAUCAGCAGCUGUGGAAGCCAGCUCCCAGAGUUGCUGGCGUUUUCAGCAGCCUGAGAAGGCAGCAGAGGCAGGAAGUGCUGUGCCGAGACCAGCCUGGAAAGAGCUGACACCGAACAGGGCUGAUCUGGGGCACCAGCCUUGCCCCUCAAGUCCCCUGAAAUGAUCCCAAAGGUAUUUCAGGAAUAGAAAAUGCCUUGCACAGAGUCUAGCAGGAGUGGGGGAACCUUUCUCCUGCCGAGGGUCAUUUGGAUAUUAUAACAUCAUUUGUAGGCCAAAAUGAUCAAUGUAGGCAGAUGGCCAUGUGAAGCAGACAAGGAAUGUAUUGUCUAUUCCAUCAUGUACCAAGUGAUUUUGCAGACCUUAUUCAGCUUGUAGGCUGAAUGUUCCCCACCACCAAAGGGCUGUGAUAGAACACGGCUCAGGUUGUCAGAUUCUGGCACCUUAUAUGUUUCUCUUCCUCUAGUUGUAACUUUGGGUUUCCUUCAGAUAGCCCCAGCCAGACCUGAUUUUUCUCUUGAGAUUUGGGCUUUCUUGAAGUCAAUGAUCAGUACAAACCUCAUAACUGAGAAUUUGUUUAGGGACUCCCUUUUCUGAUGCUACUAGCCUCUCCCUUUCCAGAGCCAAGAGAGACAUCUGGGACCAAAGGAAAUAAAAGCCCCAAGAGGUUGACUAGAGCUGACUGUGAUUUAUGAAUGUCUCAUAUUAUGAUGCUUUGUCUGCUCAAUUAUUCAAAAGUCCAUCCAUGCAAAG